ACAGUAAAGUCUGUGGUAC
rnacentral:siRNA from 1 species